rnacentral:rRNA from 1 species
AGUGAACGCUGGCGGUAGGCCUAACACAUGCAAGUCGAACGGCAGCACAGUAAGAGCUUGCUCUUACGGGUGGCGAGUGGCGGACGGGUGAGGAAUACAUCGGAAUCUACUUUUUCGUGGGGGAUAACGUAGGGAAACUUACGCUAAUACCGCAUACGACCUACGGGUGAAAGCAGGGGAUCUUCGGACCUUGCGCGAUUGAAUGAGCCGAUGUCGGAUUAGCUAGUUGGCGGGGUAAAGGCCCACCAAGGCGACGAUCCGUAGCUGGUCUGAGAGGAUGAUCAGCCACACUGGAACUGAGACACGGUCCAGACUCCUACGGGAGGCAGCAGUGGGGAACAUUGGACAAUGGGCGCAAGCCUGAUCCAGCCAUACCGCGUGGGUGAAGAAGGCCUUCGGGUUGUAAAGCCCUUUUGUUGGGAAAGAAAAGCAGCAGGUUAAUACCCCGCUGUUCUGACGGUACCCAAAGAAUAAGCACCGGCUAACUUCGU